rnacentral:rRNA from 1 species
AGUGAACGCUGGCGGUAGGCCUAACACAUGCAAGUCGAACGAGUGGCGGACGGGUGAGUAAUACAUCGGAAUCUGCUCUGUCGUGGGGGAUAACGACGGGAAACUUACGCUAAUACCGCAUACUAUCGAAUGAGCCGAUGUCGGAUUAGCUAGUUGGCGGGGUAAAGGCCCACCAAGGCGACGAUCCGUAGCUGGUCUGAGAGGAUGAUCAGCCAAACUGGAACUGAGACACGGGCCAGACUCCUACGGGAGGCAGCAGUGGGGAAUAUUGCACAAUGGGCGCAAGCCUGAUGCAGCCAUGCCGCGUGUAUGAAGAAGGCCUUCGGGUUGUAAAGUACUUUCAGCGGGGAGGCGUUACCCGCAGAAGAAGCACCGGCUAACUCCGUGCCAGCAGCCGCGGUAAUAC